UACGUAGGGUGCAAGCGUUGUCCGGAAUUAUUGGGCGUAAAGAGCUCGUAGGCGGUCUGUCGCGUCGGCUGUGAAAACCCGGAGCUCAACUCUGGGCCUGCAGUCGAUACGGGCAAACUGGAGUACUGCAGGGGAGACUGGAAUUCCUGGUGUAGCGGUGAAAUGCGCAGAUAUCAUUUGGAACGCCAACGGUGAAAACAGCUCGCUGGGGGUGUGCUGACGCUGAGACACGAAAGCCCAGGGGAGCAAACGGG
rnacentral:rRNA from 1 species